rnacentral:rRNA from 1 species
UACGGAGGGUGCGAGCGUUGUCCGGAAUCACUGGGCGUAAAGGGCGCGUAGGCGGCCUGAUAAGUAGGGGGUGAAAUCCUGCGGCUUAACCGCAGGGCUGCCUUCUAAACUGUCAGGCUUGAGCACGGUAGAGGCAGAUGGAAUUCCCGGUGUAGCGGAUGAAUGCGUAGAUAUGCGGAGGAACACCAGUGGCGAAGGCGGCCACCUGGACCGUCCCUGACGCUCAAACACGAAAGCUAGGGUAGCGAACGGGG